rnacentral:rRNA from 1 species
UUGACAAUUUGACCUCAAAUCAGGUAGGACUACCCGCUGAACUUA